rnacentral:rRNA from 1 species
AACGAACGCUGGCGGCAUGCCUAACACAUGCAAGUCGAACGAGACCUCCGGGCCUAGGGGCGCACGGGUGCGUAACGCGUGGGAACCUGCACUUAGGUUCGGAAUAACUCACCGAAAGGGGUGCUAAUACCGGAUAAUGUCUUAGGACCAAAGAUUUAUUGCCUUUGGAUGGGCCCGCGUUGGAUUAGCUAGUUGGUAGGGUAAAAGCCUACCAAGGCGACGAUGCAUAGCUGGUCUGUGAGGAUGAUCAGCCACACUGGGGCUGAGACACGGCCCAGACUCCUACGGAAGGGAGCAGUGUGGAAUAUUGGAGGAUGGAGGAAGGCCUGAUCCAGCAGUGCGGGGUGAGUGAUGAAGGCCUUAGGGUUCUAAAGCUCUUUUACCCGAGAUGAUAAUGACGGUACCGGGUGAAUAAGCUCCGGCUAACUCCGUG